AAGUCGUAACAAGGUUUCCGUAGGUGAACCUGCGGAAGGAUCAUUAAAGAGUGAGGGUCUAGCAGGCCCGACCUCCCAACCCUUUGUUUACCAAACCAUAUGUUGCUUCGGCGGACCCGUCUUCACCGACCGCCGGAGGAUUUUUUAUCGAUCCUCUGGCCCGCGUCCGUCGAUAGCCCACCUAAACUCCUUUGAAUCAUGUAAUUUAACCUGAGUAUAAACAAAAAUUAAAGCAAAACUUUCAACAACGGAUCUCUUGGUUCUG
rnacentral:misc_RNA from 1 species